UAACAGAGGGCUGCGUCAACUCAGGUGUAACAGACACGCCCAGCCUGUUACAAGCACUUCUGUGUGCCCUUCUUCCUGGGAGUGGUCAUGGUUCUCCAUUGUUUUCAUCCUGAGGGGAGGAUAGGCUGAGAGAUGAACUGCCAGAACAAUAAAAAGAAGGGUGUCAACAUCAAUCUGACAAGUUGUCUCCUGCUACUCUGAUGAUAAAAACGAUCUUCCUUACACUACACUUUCCUGAACUUGACAUCUGUCCUAAAACUCAAGUCAUACAUACUUCUCUUCCAUUAACAUGAGUCAUCCUACUGAUGUCCUUUUGCUACUCUUAAGAGUCAUGUCAGAAACAAUCAUUGACUUAUUGUCAGCUGAUUCAGCCUACCAUAUUAAUGGUGCCUUCAAAACCUCUGUUUCACCAAUCAUCUUGUCCACAACUCAGAAAAUAAGUUAACAAGGUUCCUGGAUGCGAAGACUGCGGGAGAGGGAGGACCUGCAUGCUUGCUCUUUUGCAUGCAGAUGACUCGGAAGGACAGAGAAAUCUGCCCUACAUAGAAUUCCACUUCCAUAAAGAAGAUGUAAAAAGUCAGUGUAGCCUCAUCUCUCUCAUGCAUCCAUCUGCUGUUCCUAAGCUUGUAUCUACCACUCAUUCUUACAAGGAUUUAUGUUGAAGCCUAAUAAUGUACAUGUAAAAUAUCAAUAGUCUCCAUUCAUUCAGAGAUUGAUUUUUAAUUGCAUUGUUUUGUUGGUUUGUUGAUUGCCACCCUGGGCUUCUU